CCUACGGGGUGCUGCAGUGGGGAAUAUUGGACAAUGGGCGAAAGCCUGAUCCAGCCAUGCCGCGUGUGUGAAGAAGGCCUUCGGGUUGUAAAGCACUUUCAGUGGGGAAGAAAGCCUUGGGGCUAAUACCCUCGAGGAAGGACAUCACCCACAGAAGAAGCACCGGCUAACUCCGUGCCAGCAGCCGCGGUAAUACGGAGGGUGCGAGCGUUAAUCGGAAUUACUGGGCGUAAAGCGCGCGUAGGCGGUCUGAUAAGCCGGUUGUGAAAGCCCCGGGCUCAACCUGGGAACGGCAUCCGGAACUGUCAGGCUAGAGUGCAGGAGAGGAAGGUAGAAUGCCCGGAGUAGCGGUGAAAUGCGUAGAGAUCGGGAGGAAUACCAGUGGCGAAGGCGGCCUUCUGGACUGACACUGACGCUGAGGUGCGAAAGCGUGGGUAGCAAACAGGAUUAGAUACCCCUGUAGUC
rnacentral:rRNA from 1 species